GCUCUAAAACAGCAGCAAUUUGAGUGUAUUUAAGAUUAACAGACUUUGAUAGUAUUUCACUGACAUAAUACCACAUCUUUCAUCGUAUAUUUACUGACUCAGUGAAGCGGAAGAAGAUCCGAAGGGACCAUAUUUCUAGUAUUUAGUACGGGGCCUAUGAGCCUUUCUCGAUCCAUUCUGAAGACAGGGUCAAGUGAGGAGUUUGACUGUGGCGGUACAUUUCUCAGAUGAUAACGCGGGUGUCCUAAAGUGAGCUCAACGAAGACAGAAACUUCGCGUAAAGUAAAAGGGCAAAAGCUAUCUUGAUAUUGAUUUUCAGAGCGAAUACGAAUGCGAAAGGAGAUCUAUCGGUCCUUUUGAUUUUAAGAAUUUUAUGUACGAGAUGUAAGAA
rnacentral:ncRNA from 1 species